rnacentral:tRNA from 1 species
GGGAGUGUAGCUCAAUUGGCAGAGCGGAAAGCUUAUACCUUUCGUAUACGGCAGAUUACCGUGCGGUUGGGGGUUCAAGUCCCUCCAUUCCUA